ACGAACGCUGGCGGCACGCUUAACACAUGCAAGUCGAACGAGAACUUCGGAGCUUGCUCCGAGGGGACAGUGGCGAACGGGUGAGUAACACGUGAGAAACCUGCCCCGAAGACCGGGAUAACACCGGGAAACCGGUGCUAAUACCGGAUGCCCUCUCCGGAUCGCAUGAUCCGGAGAGGAAAUGGAUUCCGCUUCGGGAUGGUCUCGCGGCCUAUCAGCUUGUUGGUGGGGUAACGGCCUACCAAGGCUUCGACGGGUAGCUGGUCUGAGAGGAUGUCCAGCCACACUGGGACUGAGACACGGCCCAGACUCCUACGGGAGGCAGCAGUGGGGAAUCUUGCGCAAUGGGCGAAAGCCUGACGCAGCGAUGCCGCGUGCGGGAUGAAGGCCUUCGGGUUGUAAACCGCUUUCAGCAGGGACGAAAUUGACGGUACCUGCAGAAGACGCCCCGGCCAACUACGU
rnacentral:rRNA from 1 species